UACGGAGGGUGCAAGCGUUAAUCGGAAUUACUGGGCGUAAAGCGUGCGCAGGCGGUUUUGUAAGCCAGAUGUGAAAUCCCCGGGCUUAACCUGGGAAUGGCAUUUGGGACUGCAAGGCUCGAGUGCGGCAGAGGAGACUGGAAUUCCUGGUGUAGCAGUGAAAUGCGCAGAUAUCAGGAGGAACACCGAUGGCGAAGGCAGGUCUCUGGGCCAUUACUGACACUGAGAAGCGAAAGCAUGGGGGAGCGAAACAGGA
rnacentral:rRNA from 1 species